UUAGCCCAGAAUGUCCCAGGAUGAAGCCCAUGGAGUUCUUGUUGUGAAGCCCAAAUCAAAGUAUGGGUUCUCCUGAAAAGCCAACCAGGCCCAAAAAAAGUAAUAGGGCCAAGGCGAUAAAACGUCGCCGUUUCCCCCCUUUGUCUCCGUUGUUUCCUGGUCCGAAGGCUACUGUGGCUUUAGGGCAAAGUUCACCUGUACAAAUGCGCCCAACUAGCUUGGGGUUCAAGGAAUCUAGCGCCUUGACUUUGAACGCGUGCGUGCACAGAUUGAAGAUGAACCAGGUGCACACCAAUUAUAUCGUUUCAGCUCAUGUGGAUGCCAUCAAACUGUACUUUUAGGUCCAACAUAUGCAGGGGCAGACAGAAUCCAUGGACCACCCAAAAACUACAACGUUGCUAUGGUGGCAAGCAAGUCAUAUAAAGAAUAGAUAGGGGAGGGAAAGAAGGGGGGAAUAGAACAGCCCCCAAAAGAAACAAACUCUUGCUUUAUGCCAUUCUAAGAUCUCCCCUCUACUUUAGAAUUCCAAGCUCUGUUCCCCAUGCAACAAAAAUUACAGCACUUGGUUUCUUGUGCUAAAUGUCUUUCUUUAUGCUUUUCUUCGCUCUUAUUUAGGUUGCCAACCUCUAAUAAGACCCGCUUCAAGCUUCUCUC